rnacentral:rRNA from 1 species
CUGCAUGGCUGUCGUCAGCUCGUGUCGUGAGAUGUUGGGUUAAGGUCCGUAACGAGCGCAACCCUGUCCUUAGUUACCAGCACGUUAUGGUGGGCACUCUAAGGAGACUGCCGGUGACAAACCGGAGGGAAGGUGGGGAGUGACGUCAAGUCAUCAUGGCCCUUACGGCCUGGGCUACACACGUGCUACAAUGGUCGGUACAAAGGGUUGCCAAGCCGCGAGGUGGAGCUAAUCCCAUAAAACCGAUCGUAGUCCGGAUCGCAGUCUGCAACUCGACUGCGUGAAGUCGGAAUCGCUAGUAAUCGUGAAUCAGAAUGUCACGGUGAAUACGUUCCCGGGCCUU